AAAGGUGUGAAUCCCCACCAGAGAAGGAAUAAAAAAAUAAGUAUGGAUCAGGAAACUCCCACUGUUUUCUAAAACGGGGCUGUAAAUACAUGGUAAUGAAAUAUAUGAUAAAUACAGCUUUUCUCUGACUAAACCCAUCAGAUGCAUGCAAAGCCAGGACAUGUUUACCAGGGAAAUGUGUGUUGUAAGGGAAUAGUGGCUAUACAGUUUCCUAACUCUACUUCAUUGAAUGCUUUUAUUCCACUGAAAUCAGUAAUCAUGUCAGAAUAGAGCUAGUAAAAUAUGAUGGGAAAUAAGGGCCUUUAAUAGAAGCCUCUCUGCCUGUCUCUCCUUUUAUAUGGCACCUCCUAACACAGUGUCUGAGUGCAGAGUUCUUCACCCUCAUCUGAUUUAAAACUUGAAAUGGAUGCGGUGGAGACCUCUGGUCCAGAGCAAACUGCCCGAGAUGAAUCAGCUGCUCAGAGUGGCCUCACAGAAAUGAUAAUGGGGUUCUGUGUUCACAGCUGAGUUAUUUAACCUGUCUGAUUUGGUCCACGGCUUCCUUGGGCAUUAAUGGUUUGGCUGCUCUCUGGUGCAGGAGGGGUCAAUGUUUGAAAGGCUGGAUCAGGGCAGCGCAUCCCCGGAGCCCCCCGGAACCGCCGCUGCCCUCGGAGCCUUCCCAGAUCUCCUUUCAAAGUGGUGGAUCCUCGGAUCGACGCUUUGGUUUUGAUCUCCCCUCCUCCAGGAGGCUGGGGGGUGGCUCACAUGCCAGGAACACAUGCUGCUGCUGGUGCAUCUUGAGGGAGGAGGAUUGAGAACUUCUUAGGAGGCAGCUUUUCAUCAGUGAGUGCAGACUUAGAUGAAUGGGAAAGAUUUCUCUGGACUACAGCAGUUUUGCUGAAAUUGCUGAGAAGCAGCAUUAUCAGGCAAGGACACUUUUAAUUCAAUAAGGAUAGAAUGCUUCAGCUGACUUUUGUUUGAUUAUAUUGUGAAUUCUAAGGUACUAUUGUGCACACCUUGAAGCCAUUAAGGCAAAAUGAAGAAUUCAAAGAGGAUCAAGAUUAAAUGUUUUCUACUGUCCCAAACAAAGCAUAAUUCAAUUAAAGUACCUUUGAUGAUCUCUACACUGCAGCAUUUUCAUUUUUGAGAUAUAGUUCAUCAUUUAGAUUAAUACUCCUGCUUGAAAGAAAAGCAAAUUUUGGCAUGCUGAUGUUUCCUGCAGAUCCAGCAGCCCAUGAGAGGGAUAGGAAAAUUCAGACUGGGAGCAUCUCUCUUCCCUUUCCCCAAGUCCUCUCUUUGAUGCAGGACCAUGGCAGGAGGGAGAGAAGGGAGAAAGAUAAGAAUUGGGUUUAUCAUCUAUAAAUAGAGACAGCCCUUCACACUCACUUUCUUGAGAAGUCCUAGAGCACCAGGGGAAAGAAGAACAAAAUAAAUCUGAGAGAGGCUGGGAAAGUUCUGUACAUUUCAGGAAAUUUCAGAAGCAAAGUUAACUCUGGCAGUCCAAGUUCUUUAAAAAGACACCAUCAAUUAGUUUCUCAAGUUUAAUUCUGUCCUGUAUCUACCAGCUGGAAAGUUUGUUGAGCAAUAAGCAUAAGUGGGUUGUAGAAUAUAAAUCAUUGCCCCUGACAUCCAGGGAAAGCAUCACUUGUUUUGUACUGACGUGGUUGUGUUUACUGCAGAUUGCUUGCGCAGAAUCUUGGACAGAAUCAGCAGCUUGGUUCAGGCCUAGAUUUUUAGAUUAUGGGAGUUAGAAGCUGAAAGAGAUUGUUAGGAAGUUUAGCAAAGGAAGGCUGUCAUCACACUUUGACCUAAAAUGGAAUUAAACUGUCCACUGCUAAGGGACCCAGUAGCAAACCUGUCAACAUUACUCAAAAAUAUUUUUAAGAGUUGUUUUAUAUGGACUGUGCUACACUGGAUUUCUUUCUGCUUGUUUUUCUGUUUGCUUGGGGUUUUUUUCCCACAGGUGAAGAGGAUGUGGAAAAUAGACCAUACAUGGAAAUCUGUGAAUCCUGUGCUGGCAUCUGUAGGAAGGAUCAUUUUGUGGGAGGCUCUGUGUCUCAGCAGCUCCCUGAAGUGAGCACCAUGACAUGAAUCUGGAAGUGAAGAAGCCCACAACUCUUCAGAAAAGAGCAGUUAUUCUUAGCUUUGUUUUGCUGAUGUUUUUCUUUCUUCCCCCCCUUCUUUUUUUUUUUUUUUUUUUUUUUUUUUUAAGAAAACAGAAAGCCUGCCAAAAUUUGGGCUCUUUGAUGUGCUUUGGAAAGAAAAACAAUGCUAUCUAUCCAAGUCCUCUGAAAGGAACAAAAAUAUGUCAUUUGCAGGCAUGAACUACUUGAGAAGAACAAUCAAUAUAUUUCACAAUUAAAGAUGGUCAAAAGUUUUUUAAUAUUUUUUUGGAAUUUGUUAAGAAAAUUUCUGAGACAUUUGCCUGUUUCAGUUAAACUUUCUUUGGGAAGAUUUCCUGAAUUACAAGGUAGGUGUAAGGCAGGAGGGAGAAGAAAGAGGAAGACACUGAUAUUUGCUGUAGAAUAUUUAAUAAUCUAAUAAUACCCUGGGGAGAAUAUACAAGACCCCAUCCCAGCUUUUCUUCUGUUGGUUUGGAGUGAGUAGGUGAACCUGCCUCGUCCAUUUUAUUCAUCCUACUUUGGGAUGAGAAAACAGGUCAUAAAAGCAGGAUCUGGUCUGCACUGUUUGUUUGUUGAUUCAGCUCUCAGUGGACACGUUGCUUUAUAAAACUCUUCAGCUGUAAAUGAGACACUGACUUCAUUGUCUCGUAUUUAGGAAAUCUGCUUUAGAUGGAAGCAUCCCAGGUUGGGGUCUUUGGCUGGUAAAUGUAGGGAAGCUUUUGAAGCUGCAGUUUUGGAAGUUAUAGCCUAAUAACUAAACUUCUGUUUGCCCUCUAUUUUUAAGUUUUCUUCUCCAUCACCCCAGCAAAUCUUGAAAGAGCUGAUUUAUGCAAUGAGAAUUUUUGACAUUUUUAUUAAGUCCAGGCAUUUAAUAAAGACAUUCUUUCUUCAAUGUGAUUAAACUGAGGUAAAGAAGCCCUUGUGCUAUUUCUCUUUUCUUAUUGAAGUUUUUAACAGAUUUCCUUUUUUUCCUUCCUGUGACAGGGCCUGUUACAUCAUUUCCAUGAUUGGCUCUCACUUUCCACUGCAAUGGCUGUAUGGGAAAUGCACCUACUUUUACAGCUGAGCUUUAAAGAGCACAAGUCCUCUUCUGCUACAAGGAACCUGUAAAGAACAACAGCAAUUAAGGAGGGAGGAAAGAAGUUGAAACAGUAAUUGCAAGUGGUUUUCUCCUCAGGACUUCUGGAUCCCACCACUGACUUUCUAGCAGCCAGGCAAAGGCAGGUGAAUCCCUCUGUGCCCUGAUUUAUCCACCUGUAAAAUAAGCAUGGCCAGUCUUGCCUGCUCCACCACCUUGUGACAUGGUGCAGCCAAGAAAUAUGUGUAAAUUGCUGUAAGAUUCUGAGACCAAGGGAAGGCUGGAAGUGCCAAGUGUUGUUGUUGUUAUUGUAUUAACAAUGUUGGCUGUUUUCACUGUUCAUAUGGUAGCCUGGCUGGAAUUGGGCAGGAAGCCCAAUAAUACCAACAACCAACAAGAAACUAAAAUAAAAUGUUUUACUUAA